GGUGCUAGCCUAAAUCCAGUCUACCCUCCUACCUAUGUAUCCGCCUGAUGAUACUACGAUGCACAAACGCUUAAAACUCUAAGGAUCUUGGCGGUGCCCCAAACCCACCUAGAUGGAUGCCUGUUCUAUAAUCGAUAACCCACGAUAUCCACCCGACCACCCCUUGCCCACACAGCCUACAUACCGCCGUCGCCAGCCCACCUAAAAUGAAAGAUCAACAGUGAGCUCAAUAGUCCCCGCUAAUAAGACAGGUCAAGGUAUAGCCCAUGGGUGGAAGAAAUGGGUUACCUUUUCUAAUUAUAGACCAACGAAAAAGGACGUUGAAACCGUCCUUGGAAGGAGAAUUAGCCGUUAAAUAGGACAUACUUCCCUAACCUACUUUAAAACGGCCUGGGGGCACGUUACACACCGCCCGUCACCCUCUGAUA
rnacentral:rRNA from 1 species